UACGUAGGGGGCAAGCGUUACUCGGAAUUACUGGGCGUAAAGCGUGCGUAGGUGGUUUGUUAAGUCUGAUGUGAAAGCCCUGGGCUCAACCUGGGAAUGGCAUUGGAUACUGGCGAGCUAGAGUGCGGUAGAGGGUAGUGGAAUUCCCGGUGUAGCAGUGAAAUGCGUAGAGAUCGGGAGGAACAUCUGUGGCGAAGGCGACUACCUGGACCAGCACUGACACUGAGGCACGAAAGCGUGGGGAGCAAGCGGG
rnacentral:rRNA from 1 species